rnacentral:misc_RNA from 1 species
AGUAUCUCAACCACAUUCGUCGUGUGGCUUGGACUUGGAGGAAUGGUGCAGGCUCCUCACUUCCUUGGUGUAGUCUGCUCCUCUGAAAAAUAUGAGUGGUGCCUAUAUUUGGAACCUCUGGCUUAGGUGUGAUACAUAUCUGCAUCUAAUCCAGGUUAUCCGUUGGGCUGUGCUGCUGAUUAUUGACGACUCGAUAA